GGUUAUUUUACAGCAUCGCAAGCCUGACUUUGAAGCUGACACAAAACGUUACCGCUUCACUUUUCCUUCGUAAGUUGCACAUCCCUGCGGCUAGGCUGAGGCCGCAAAACGAUCAGGAGCAGUUGUCGUAGGUACAACGACGCUUUGUGGACCCCCGAUAUUUGAGGUUCAACGAACAAUUUCAUCGGAAGGGCCGUAAGCGCCCGAGAGCCUCGUCGUAGAGGGUCCGUGCCGAGACGGAUGUGAGCAGCGUUCUUGAGGGUAAGAGAACGAAGCUGAGAAGACACGUGCCCUGUCCUUCUACGCCUUUUAACGCUGGAUUUACAGUUGUUUCUACUUUCGUAUGAUCCGCACACAAAAUUGAGCGAACUUGGAGGUUCUGUCAACUGCACCUACGUUUUGACGCGAAUUCACAACGAUCGAUUGUCUUGCCUGCUGCUUGUCGCCUGGUCGCCACUGAGAGGGAAUUGAUACGGCGCGCACGUUUUCUUCACGUGAAAAGGCGAUCCGCAAGUUUAACGUGACCUUUUCAAGAAAGACCGUAUCAAAGCUUGUCAUCGCUAAUUGGUCGAGUCAAUGAGAGCUCUUUUCUACGAUGUCGGGUCGGCGUGAAUCCCGAGGUUCCGAAGGCCCUUGGGGCCGAUCGCUACGCUGCUGUGCGUUUUCCCGCAUUAUGAGGCAGAUGGUAGUGUUUGUCGUCGCAGUCUUUCUCUGUCCGAGGCUGUCAUAUCUGCGUGAGCUCGCGGAUUCCGAUGUGGCUGCAUCGACAAGACUGGUGUGUCAUGCGUCCGCUCUCGGGCAGCAGGACGAUUUCAAUGCAGCUAUCGCUGAAAUAAUAAACAACGGAAUUGUUUUCACCCCCGCGAAAUUCGACUUUGAUGAGGCGUACGAGGCCGCUAAAACAGUGAGCCAGACGCCCGUUAUAUGGGAUGUCUACCAUGUGGAUGAGAAAUUGCUUGUGCAGAAACUGGAGGAGAGCAUGGAGAGAUUCAUACUCAAUGCCUAUCUCGCACUAAGACGGAAGGAACCAGACUUACGCGCCGUACCAAUCGUAGGCAAUGCGAGACUAAUGCAUUUCCUCCGAAGUCUACUGACUCGAAAUCGAGUUAAAACUACCAAGUCGGACAGCGAACUCAGCAAUAUCUUCCGAGAAAGACCGCGACUAUUCGAAUGGAUACCUGAUUUGCCUGUUCAGGUCUCGGAGACGCACGAUGAGCUCUAAAAAAGUUUUUGAACGGAGCCUUACGAACACACAUCGCCAGUAAACAAGGAUGGGCCUUAGAUAAACAACACCUGUCUACGAAUGGAGCAUCAGACGGAGGGACUGGGUGUUCUAGUGUCCUUCCGGUGUUGUUUUCUAAACACGAAAGCGGUUAUAUACAGUGGAGAGAUUGGAUAUUUGGUAUUUUUCCGGUUCCAUGCAAGUCCCGAGUUCACAGAAAAAGUGUUGACGUGUUCUGUCAGGGAACCAUCAUGCAGACGGUUCACAGCUAGGUGCCGCAAAUUACUGUCAUCAAUGCCGUUCAGCUGGACGGAAAAGUUUUAAAUGAUAGCCUUCAAGACUUGUCAACCUAUACGGCCGCGCGCUAGUCCUGCAACUGCGGUGACGAAUUCAGUCCGCAUCCAUCCUGACGUGUGCAGGGCGGACAAGCAUAUCCAACCGGGUGCUUCUGCUCAAUCAUUGCAGCCAUCGUAAAACUCAAGAG
rnacentral:lncRNA from 1 species